AGUGAGCGGUUCUGAGGUCGUCACUGUGUCUAUUCUCCCCUUUCUCUCUUCCCCGUCGAGCCUCUCGCGGCGAUUCGCGACGCCGCCUCUCCGUGCUCCUCUCCGUCGAGGCCCCUCAGCACCGCGGCGAUUGAAGAGGCAACAUCGCCUCUCCUUGCUCCUCCCCGUCGAGGCCUGUCGGAGCGGGUAUAUCGGUGGCCGUGACGGCCGCCACGCCCACCCCGGCGGUGGUCAUGUCCGCGCCUCUGCCAGCGCCAGCGCCGGCGCCAUACUCCCAGCUCGCGCCGCUCGUGGCUGCGCAAGACCAAGCGGAAGGCCAUGCUCGCCGCGCUCGAGAAGAUCCGCGAAGGUAACGCACGCACGCUCCCUCCCACGCCGUCUCGCUCCUUCGUCCUCACCUGCUUUAUCGCCCGUUCCGGAACCUAAUCUGGACGCGCUUGCUCUUGUGCUGCCUGCUGAAUUGCUGGACUAGGUAGGUAGCAGUCCACUCUAGCUAGUACACGUCACUACUGUAUCAUUUCACAAUUUGUGGAGCUCAGCAGCAGCAUGACAUUUCUGUCCGGGAUGUUGUCUGUUUAUUUGCUUACUAGUAUUAGGGAUUAUUAGCCUAUCUGUCCACUCUGCAACUGAAUAUUCAUGGAAGCAGACUGUUAGUCUGUUAGAGUUAGACGACACAUGGAUUGGUACUACAUUGGUUUGCGUUGCAAAUUGCAAUGCUGCUAGUUGUAGACAACCUUACCACAUUGUCUCCGAGACUUCAAGGAUAUGCAGGCUUUGGCAAUACCUUCUGCAUGCCGACCUCUACCUGAAUGUUACGCCUUUGAAAGUUCAAUGGAAAUCUCACGACUGUAAACACUGAUAUAUUCAUAUUGUAUGAUUAUGAUCGAUGUGUUGUCAUAGAUGACCGGAUUGAGUGACUUAGAAGCCUAUUCAUUGAUAUUUAGUUGGACACAUAACUAUGGCUGAUAGCCUGAUAGCGAUGUUAAACUAGUUGAUGUCUGCCAGGAGCAUAUUCCUUCCUUUUGGAGGUAAACAGAUAGUUAAAAAGUUGCUUGGGUGGAUGGGGCAUGGGUUACGUGUGAUAGCCUAUUCAUUGAUGUUAGCUGUCUGUCUAUCUGUGCGCGGAUGUGUGCGUGAAUGCUGCUGCGAUCAGUGCGUGAAUGCUGCUGUUAGCUAGUUGUCAGAAAUUUGGUGGAUGGUGCUUGGCUAUAGGAGUUGCAGUCUGUGAGUUGCUCCGGAAGCUGCUUGGUGUCUGGGGGUACUGCUUGAUGUCAUCUGCACUUGCUCUGCUAGAUGCAUAAGAGGGCUUGUACUAUGAAUUUUUUUUGAAAAUUUUUCUUUGUAUUUUCUAUGGUUGUUACUGCUAUUUUUGUCCUGUUGUGUUGCAAUGUUUUUGUUUCUUAUUGUGCUUUCACUUGCUAGUAAUUUAUGACCCGAUUAAGCUAAUGAUUGGUGAAAUAUGGACCAGAUUUUCAGUUUUCAGGCUGAUACAAGUGUGAUAUUCAGUGGUAUUGUCUUGCACCACUGCAUCCAUUUACCACGGUAGCAACUAGCACAAAGCGGUGCUCCCAGCCUCCCAAAACAGCUAUAAUCUAUAUUAAGUAGAUUAGCAGAACAACAUUAUACGUUAGGAGAAGCCUCUUUCAGGUUUAUUUAUGUUUUAUUACAUCUUCAGUUUCAGGCUUGCUGGUUGUUUGUCUGUGGUUUAAUGUUUCUUUUUAUUAUUUGCUGUUUGUGCAAAUAAAUACUAACAGUGACUUCGAUUUAAUAUAGUCAUACUUUUAACUUUGAGUGAUGCUUGUACUUUGUUUGAUUGCAAUUGCAAUAAGUCACAAUUCUGCAUACUCGGCCCAUACCUCAGUGGUAGCAUAUAUUUUUAACUGAAUAUAGUGACAGAUUAGGAGAGGUUGUGCUGUGGGGGUUUUCAAAAUUCUGCAUACUCGGCCCAUCCGUGAUUUUAACUCAAGUGCAUUAGGAUAUUCAGGUUCCAUGAUUUUAGGGACCUUUAAUUCAUCUUAUUUCAAGUAACAGUUACAGUCUAAGUAUAUUAUACUUUAUUUACUAAAACAAGAAAAAGCAAUAAAAAAUAUGAUUCUUUGCUUGGAAACAGCUAACCGGUUAGUUUAUAGUGUCCUGGUUAAGGUCAGGUUUACUCUGUUCAAGAGGCGAGUAUGUUAGUUUAUUGUAUAGUGUGAGUGUGUGUGUCGUAUGGCUCUCCUCUGUGUUUGAGAGAAAAUAAUGUUCAUGAGGUCUUUAGCUAAUUAGUGAUGUCCUCAUCUCCUAGAUGGCUGGAUAUACCCAAACACUUAUAGGUUACCAUCUAAUAUAAGAAAUUUCUUUUACUAGAAGCAGAACUAUCUGUUUCUGGAGUUAUCAAUGAGUUGAGUUCCUUCUCUUUGCUUUCUGUUGUGUCGGUCUAUAUGUAAAAUUGAGGUCAAUGGUGCAAACAAAAUGAUUAUGUAGUUCUAUACUUUUGUAACCCUUUUUAAAUAAGGUAAUCUGAAAUAAUAUAAUAUGCUAUCCUUUUGAAACACAAAAUGUAAAAUAACUAAGUUUACGUUGCAGUGAACUAUUUAUAUAGCUCAUCUAAAGAAAUGCAAACCAGAAUAGUGUAAAUUGCAAACACAGGGAACUGCAAUUGUAGUUCUGAGUGUAUGUAAUUUAGUUGUAUGAGCUUGCUAUAUUAUUUGUAUUUUGAUUUUAGCCUAAAAAUAUUAGGUGAAUCCUUAUAGGUUGUCUUCAGGUGCAGAUCAUAAUUUUUCCUAACUAUCCAUGGGGCGAUUGCUCCAUGUCUAAUUUUAGUAUAGGCUAGCAUUGGAUUGGAAGUGCAAGGUAUCUGAACUAAUGUGACUUUGCAUCCUUUUGUCAGUUAGGUAGCAAUAAAUUUGGUGUCUAGGGGUACAACUCGAUUUCAUCAGAUCUGUUGGAAGUGCAACUCGAUUGAGCAUCUGUAUUAGCUAAAGACCUCAUGAACAUCCUUUUAGUCAAUGAUUGUUUUAUCAUGUUGUCCAUUAAUUUGUAUAUUGUUACAUAAUUGCAAUCACUAAUAAUAUAAAUUAUAACUACUAGGAACUGCAAUUUUAGUUCCCAACAUAGGUAUUUUUUGUUAAAAGUUUUUAACUCCACCUACGGUGGGCCGUCUAUGGUGUCCCAUCGUAGCAGGUCCCAAGCCCUGGUAAAGGAGGAGGGUUGAAAUUGUUCUUGUUGAAACUAUUCUUUCUGUUCUUUUGUUUCUGUUUUGCUAUGCAGGCUUGACGACCAAAUAAAAGGAAUAGCAAUGGAGGAAGCUGCCAGAGAUCGUGUCUUGAGCCACCUCCACAUCGUUAGUUAGCGCAUUGAAUGUCAACGAAGAACUCUGCUUCAAGCAUGCUUAGUGGAAAAAAGCCUGUCCAGGCAGUUGUUUGUUUGGUUGGAUGCAUAUUUGAUGAACUAACUCUCGACAUUGGUAUGGCCUAACCUGCACUUCUAGUACCACUGCUGGCUGCACUGCUACUGUAAGCAGCCAUUGUUCUAGUGGUUGGAUGUGGGAGAAGGGAAAGAUGUCAACUUCAAGGAGCAUUAUUGUAGAUCAAAGUUGCACAAGUAAUGUAUCAAGUUCCUUGGCCCUGCUGGACAAAAUUAUGUGUUAGGUUGUAAAAAAACACAUGAUUUUUGGGUUUCUGAAAUUCAUGUGUUUUAUUGGCACAAAACACCUGCGUGUUGGUUGCCUUCAAAACACAUGAGUGUCAACUAGACAGACUCUACAAUUAUGGACAUCAAGCACGUUGGUGCAUGACAUGUACCAAGCCCAGAUUGUAUUGGAGGCCCAAAGCUGUGCUUGACUCGCUUGUCCCAGAAUAAAACCCUCAUCUUGCAAAGGACAACGACGCCUCGACUUCUCCGGUUACACAGGCAAACCCCAAGCCCAACCAAUCUACAGUGCAAAACAACCCAUCGUCGGCUGAUCGUCUGCCACCGACCAACACCAUGGCCAACUUUGAGGUGAAUCCUGUGCCCUACCUUCUGAAAAGGUUCGAUCUUGAACACUGGGCUCGUCCUGCCCGUGGCCGGGUCGUGGUAGCUGGGAAUACACCUCGCCGACACGAAGAGUUUGCCAUUGCGACGCUCACGCCGGCGCCGCAGCCGCAGAACCUGCAACAACUCCAGCAAGCGAUAACGGACGUCAUCAACUACUUUGAAAGGCCUAGACAGGUUCAUAUUGUCUCUGCUUGCCCUUCGCCUCUAGGGCUUUGUUUGCUGGAAUUUCGCUCUGCUGUUACAAGACAAGCAAUGAUCAACCUUAGUCCACAUAUCCUGCCUGGAGGUAGAGAAAUUUUUUUGGAUGAACAUGAUAAUGGACUUAAUCUAAGAGCUAGUCCUUUCAGUAGAGUUUGCUGGAUUAUGUUCCUAUGCUUCCCACUAGAUUACCAGACCAAAGGGUAUAUUGAGCAGGCUGUCAACCUAUUUGGUUCUGUUUUAACAUGGACAAACAAUGACAACUGCAAGUCACAUGUGUCGGUCAGAUGCUCAGUGCUGCACAUAAGCAAAAUUCCAAGAAGUAUCCUUGUUUGUAAACCAGCUGCUGUUGGGGAAGCUGGGCAUUCAUGGACAGUUCCAGUCUUUGUUCUGAAUUCCCAGAACAAUGAGCACAUUCCAGGGGAUGAAGAUCCUGUUCCAGAUAAUGGAAAUCCACAUCCUUUCCCAGGUGUACAACCUGAAAACCAAAAUGACUUCUGGGAGAACAUUCAAGAUUUAGAGGAUGUACAGCAAACAAACAUGGAUGAAGGGUGGGUGCCACCUCUGGUACCUAAUGCAGCAGCAGCAGCUGCAGCUGCUGAUAUUGGGAAUGGCUGACCUGCUUGGCCUCAGGAAGGUGAGGUAGUAGAGCAGAAUGAGUUGCAACAAGUUCAGGCUAUGGCAGAUCAACUAGUGCAUCAAGCAAUGCUGCAACUCCCAAAUGCCUCGCAAUCUACUGAAACGGUCAGCUCAGAUGUCAUGGAUUUUUUCAGAGCUCAGGGUCCACCGAUUAGAUUAGAACUUCCUCUGUUACAAGAUCAGGAACAGCAAGCAGUUAUUCCCUAUUUCAAUAAUGAUAUGGAAAAGGAUAGUGACUAUCUGAUUUUCCGACUAGCAAAAACACUUCAGCUGCACCACGGGUUUGGUCCAAUGCCCUGAGUUCAGAUGCUAGUUCAAGAUAUUAUUCAGACAACAACUGCAUACCAUCAUGAUCUUUACAUUUAGAGGCCUCUGUGCAUUGGUUUGGCCCAAUUUCCUUUUAUGCAGAACCUGAAUCUCCUCUGCGACCCUGGUAAGCAACCUCAGCAAAUACAGGUUCGUUCACCAUAUCUUCCUGGAUACAUUUUCAGUGAGUCUAAUCCUGGCAAAAUCAUUGUGGAUCCUUUUUGGAAAAAUAAUUGGGAAGCUUCCUCCUCUACUGCACCCCCAAUUCCCAAUGUACUAGUUAGGAUGGAAGGGGCUCAACUUUUAGCACCACUAUCAGAUUCCCAGAAUAAUAAUGAUUCCCAGAAUAAUAAUGAUAUGGAAGUUGAGCACAGUGAAACUGAGAACAGAAUUACACUGAUUGAUACUAACUCAGAAGGCUUUGAUUGAUACUAACUCAGAAGGCUCUCCAGUUACUCAUCAGUCGGUAGUAGUACUUCAGGAUAACAUCAAUUGCCAGAUUACUCCACCAGAAAGCCAUGCUACUGCGGCUCUCCAACGCGCACUUCCAGAGGACAUUCAUCAACCCAUUCAGAUGGUGGGACCCAAUCUCCCCAAAACAAGGAAGUCCCAAAAGAGGCUGACCCCAGUGGUUGAGGAUGAGGUGAGGAGAAGCUCUAGACUGCACAAGCUUCCUGGCUUUGAGCACAUGGAAUUAGAUGAGAAAUCCAAGCCAAGAAAGUUGGCUAAGGAAACUCUUCUACAGGGACAGCUACAGAUAGCUAUGGCUGAGUUUGUAUCUGAGGAUCAAAUGUUACUUCAUGCAGAAUUUGGCAAUCAAUUUCUGUGAGGUAGCUCCUACGGAUGUUACUGCAGACAAGCUUCUUUCCAAAGUCUGCGAUGAUAAUGUUUAAUGUACUUGUAAUAAUUUGUGCUCCUCAACACUUUCUCUUUUGCUGGUGGUUACUAUGUCUCCACCUUUAUCCUUUGCAACUCUUGGUUUUAAUGGAUCACAGUCGUAAUUGGAACAUCUUAUGUUGGAAUGUGAGAGGUCUUUAUGACCCAGACAAG